rnacentral:lncRNA from 1 species
GCGGCGGAGAGGCGGACAGCGGCGGCGCGGCGGAGAGACGGACAGCGGCGGAGAGGCGGACAGCGGCGGAGAGGCGGACAGCGGCGGCGCGGCGGAGAGACGGACAGCGGCGGAGAGGCGGACAGCGGCGGCGCGGCGGAGAGACGGAUAGCGGCGGAGAGGCGGACAGCGGCGGCGCGGCGGAGAGGCGGACAGCGGCGGAGAGGCGGACAGCGGCGGCGCGGCGGAGAGGCGGACAGCGGCGGCGCGGCGGAGAGACGGACAGCGGCGGAGAGGCAGACAGCGGCGGCGAGGCGCGCAGCGGCGGCGCAGGCGCGGAGAGGCGCUGGCGCCGGCUCUGGCGCGGAGAGGUGCAGGCCCAGGCUCCACUCCCCAGCUGUGAAAGGGUUUUCUGCCUCCUGCUAAGCCAAUUUAUACAUUCCAAGAAAAUCUUCCAUUUCAUCCAGGUGAAACGGAACCUACUGGAAUGAAGCUGGCCUCCCAUGGAAUGAAGCUGGCCUCCCGUCUCCUUGAUUUGAAGCAGCUUCUCCACGUUGGUUAUUAUGCCAUUUUUCUAAAUCUAACAUUUUAAAAUUUGUGCCUUUUCUUUCUCUUUUGCUUGACUUCUCAGAGGUUUUUUUAACGGUCUUUUCAAAGAAGUGGUUUUGGGUUUUAUUUAUCAAGUCUACUUUUAUUAUGGCUGUUUUAAAAUUAAAUACAUUUAUUUCUUGUUUCCCUUAAAAAAGCUUCUUGUAUGUUUACUUAGUUUAUAUAAUUUUAUAUGUCUUCUGUUGAAGCAUAUUAACAAACACUUCCAGCUAUAACGUUUCCCCUGAGAACUGCUUUGGACACAUCCAGAGAUUUUGAUAGGUCACACACUUAUUGUAGUUUGUUUCUGAAAAGUUUUUCAUUUUAGUUUUUAUUUUCUCUUUUACUCAAAUUAUCAUGAGCUUUCUCCUUUUAUCCUGUUUCUGACAAAUUAAUCUG